CCUACGGGAGGCAGCAGUGAGGAAUAUUGGUCAAUGGACGAGAGUCUGAACCAGCCAAGUAGCGUGAAGGAUGACUGCCCUAUGGGUUGUAAACUUCUUUUAUAUGGGAAUAAAAUAGGGUAUGCAUACCCUCUUGUAUGUACCAUAUGAAUAAGGAUCGGCUAACUCCGUGCCAGCAGCCGCGGUAAUACGGAGGAUCCGAGCGUUAUCCGGAUUUAUUGGGUUUAAAGGGAGCGUAGGUGGAUUGUUAAGUCAGUUGUGAAAGUUUGCGGUUCAACCGUGAAAUUGCAGUUGGAACUGGCAGUCUUGAGUACGGUAGAGGUGGGCGGAAUUCGUGGUGUAGCGGUGAAAUGCUUAGAUAUCACGAAGAACUCCGAUUGCGAAGGCAGCGUACCGGCGCCAGACUGACGCUGAGGCACGAAGGCGUGGGGAUCGAACAGGAUUAGAUACCCUAGUAGUC
rnacentral:rRNA from 1 species